rnacentral:rRNA from 1 species
CCAAUAGCGUAUAUUAAAGUUGUUGCAGUUAAAAAGCUCGUAGUUGAAUUUCGGGAUUGGCGCAUCGGUCGUGCCUCACGGGGUAUGAACUGGUGCAGUCAAUUUCUCACCUUCUGGAGAACCGCGAUGUCCUUAAUUGGAUGCCGCGGGGAACCAGGACCUUUACUUUGAAAAAAUUAGCGUGUUUAAAGCAGGCAUUUUUGCUUGAAUACAUUAGCAUAGAAUAAUAAAAUAGGACGGCAUGGUUCUAUUUUGUUGGUUUCUAGGACCACCGUAAUGAUUAAUAGGGAUAGUUGGGGGCAUUAGUAUUCAAUUGUCAGAGGUGAAAUUCUUGGAUUUAUUGAAGACUAACUACUGCGAAAGCAUUUGCCAAGGAUGUUUUCAUUAAUCAAGAACGAAAGUUAGGGGAUCGAAGACGAUCAGAUACCGUCGUAGUCUUAACCAUAAACUAUGCCGACUAGGAAUCAGACGAUGUUAAUUUUUUAAUGACUCGUUUGGCACCUUACG